rnacentral:lncRNA from 1 species
GGGCUCGCCGGGGCGAGUGUGCGCCCGGCUCUGACUGGUGUGUUUGGAGGAACACGUGGGGAUGGCAGCGCGUGGACCCUGAGCACCCAAGGAUGUGAGUGUGCGAGUAAGUGUGCCUCGAGAAAGUUCACGUGUGAGCGAGACCCUGAGCACACGCAUGGUGAGUGUUCGUGGCGAGUGCCAGAGGAGAGGCCGCUAAGAGGCAGGAGGGAAGGGAUGCUGCACGUGGCCUCGUGGGAAGCAUGCGGCUAGUGUGUGCAGUGUGCUAGCCGCGUGCACGAGACAAUUUACUUCGAGGGCCUACAAGUACCUAGCCUUGGAGGAUGUUGUCUGGGGGUGCGGAACAGAGGGGUUCGAAGCCACUCCAAGUAUGUGUAGCACUUUGCAGGCCGCGCUCCACAAGGUGUCUUCCUGAAGCUGCUGGAUGGGAACGCGUAGCUGAGGUUUGUGCCGGGGACUCAGGCCUUUGGAACCCGCACGGGUCUGUGGGACAGUGUGGACCCAGAACGACUAGGUGUGCAGAGAGAUGCGCGAAGGGACAGCGGCCUUGAGACCUUGCGGUUCUUUGGAGUCUCUUUUGUUCUUUGGAAAGGACAAGAGCCUCCUUUCCCUCCUGUCUGCUGGUCCCUCCACCUGAAGAAGUCUGCCUAUGGCCAAAUAUCACCCAUUAGACGGAUCAUGGACUGUGGGGCUUGUGUAU